GGGGGUAUAGCUCAGUUGGUAGAGUACCUGCCUUGCAUGCCCAAGUCCCUGGGUUCAAUCCCCAGCACCACAA
rnacentral:tRNA from 1 species